UACGUAGGGUGCAAGCGUUGUCCGGAAUUAUUGGGCGUAAAGAGCUCGUAGGCGGUCUGUUACGUCGGCUGUGAAAACCUGGGGCUCAACCCCGGGCCUGCAGCCGAUACGGGCAGACUAGAAUUCGGUAGGGGAGACUGGAAUUCCUGGUGUAGCGGUGAAAUGCGCAGAUAUCAGGAGGAACACCGGUGGCGAAGGCGGGUCUCUGGGACGAUAUUGACGCUGAGGAGCGAAAGCGUGGGGAGCGAACAGG
rnacentral:rRNA from 1 species